CGUGUUUCUUUGUCAUGUGUAUAAUAACUGUGUGUUGCAUUUUAUUAUUUUCAGACAAUUUAAAAAUAUCGAGAGGAACAGGAAACCGCUGUCUCCAUCACACAUGUGAGUGUACGAAUUGAGAAAUUGUUUGUCAGAAAUUAGCAAAAGUUUGUCUGCUUUGCCGGGCAAAAUAAACUGAAUACGUAAUUAGGCAUUGUAUAAUUGUGCAUGAUAAGAACGACAUAAUUUUAAAAUCAACUUGCUAAUUAAGUAAUUAACUCGCCAGUUAAAGUAAGUAACUUUCUUUUCUUAUUUUAAGAGUGUUUUUCUCGACAAGUGAUUUCAAUGGAGAGACCUCUGGUUCUAACAUCAAUGGAAAGUAGGACUAGAUAUUAUGAAUUGUCGUACAGUACAUUAUUUAUACACAUAUUUCUGCAUUAGUAAAUUAUAUUAUAUUGUAGUAUUUAAAAAGGCCCUGUCCUAUUGCAUGUGACGCAUGCGCGAAUUUGCAUUCAUGCAAAUAUUGAGUUGGUUUUUACCACUGAUCUGAAAUAAGACUGAUAAAGCAUCUGCUGUGCAGAAGUGAAGCCAAUUGCGGCCAUGUUGGAUGGCCCCGCAAUUAAUCUAAUCUGGUAUUGUGGACAUGUUUAACUUCUUCCUUUACGUUUCUAGUCAGUAGUGGGAAAGGACAAAUAUUGCCUAGAUAAGAAUUUAUCAUCAGUAGCCUCUCUAUUUUCUUAAAUUUUCCGGUGAACAACUAAUGGGGCCAUCAAAUAUGGCCGCCAUAAGCCUCAUUAUGUGAUGUAAUAAAACGUUCUAAGGGACCGGUCAUUAUUUAUGGUGGGGGGUGGCACCGAAGAGAAAUGUUUUUCGUGGCAAAAAUUUUGCUGACCCAACCAUUAAAAAGUAAAAAAAACCUGAUUAUCCAACCUCAAAUAUCAAUUAAAAAAUAAAUACCCACCCCUGGCCAAAAAAAUUACAAAAGGUACCAUUCAGUUGUCACAUAUGUCCUUUACCACUUCUGUGACAUAAGUUUGAUAACAGAUUGUGAAAUUUUCUGCAGUCUAAAGUUUCAUGUUGUCUGCACAUGUACUUUCUUUGGAGAUCCCAUCGGAAAUUGAUCAAGAUAGUGACUCUGAUUGAUUCACAUAUUGUAUUGACAUAUGGCGGCCUACUCUGGGGUGGCCUACUGUCUGUUGCCAUUGCUUUUUAGUCCCCAAUACUUCAGUGAGUCAUGCUUUGGAAAUAAUUUUUUAUUACCCAACCCUUGAGUUGUUUUGUUUUUCAUUUACCCAACCUUUUACUCACUCAAAAUUUAGUUUACCCAACCCUUUUCUCUUCGGUGCCCUUAAAUAAUGACUGGUCCCUAAAACUACUUCGAAGAGGUUUUGGAAGUUAUAUUUCACAAGUCACAUAGGUGAAGAUAUUCGCUUUAUAGUCUAACUAGUGAACUUAAACAGCAAACGAUUAGACUGGUCAUGAAUUUGACUGAUUUAUAGAUCUCAUCUCAUUAAAAUAUUCUGGCUUCAAAAUCGGAUUACUGAAUUCAGUAGCAUAAUUUGUCCAGUCUUAUUUCAGAUCCGUGGUUUUUACUCGUUGCCUAACCUGACGGAUCAGGCUCUAUUUUAGAAAUAGAACUCGUUGCCCGAUUAAAUUUACUCAUUAAAAUUUGAAUAGAAUGUGUUUUCAAGCA